CUUACAGGAAACAUGAGGGUUGGAGGAACAAGUUAAGUGACACCACAGAGAAGGAAAUAGACAAAUUUAGAAGGUGAGACACUCUCUAAAACAACUGACAGUCUCUGCAUCAAGUUAGUAACAGGACAAAAAGGAGAGGGAGGAGGUGAGAAGAAGCUCUAGACUAAAGAGGUACAGCAACCAAAUGAAAGGCAGUCCCCCUGUUGAGACAUAGCAGGAGGGCCAGGGGAUUUUGUUUGUUCAGCCUCCCACUGAGCCCCACCAACACCACCCAGGCAAAAGUGGACAAUUCACUCACUCACUCUGCCCAGAUGUCAGCAGUCUAGUUGCUGCCAGUUGUGGAUGUACAGCUCAUUGGACCCUGCUGACACUAUCCUGGUGAGGAAUUGAGGAAGACCUGCUUCUGCCAGACAGGGGAUGGAAGAGCAGCAACCCCCUCAACCAGUCAACACCAACCUGGGUGGAAUCAAAGUGCUGCUGUCUGUUUCCAAAAAAGAAAUGCCAGGAAGAUAUGAAUUGUUGUGGAAUAUUCCAACAUGAAAUCAAAAAUUGAUCUAAAAUCAGAAGUAUCGAAAGCAAUAUCAAUUUCCAAAAUCAAGGCACUCUGACGCAGGGAAAUCACAAUGUAGGGUUAAACAACCUGAGAACGUUCAGCCUAUGGAAGAAACGCCUUAGGUGAGCAUUUGGUAACUAUCUUCAUAACCUUCAAGGGCAGUCCUGAACAAGAGGGAUUGCAUUUAUUCUGUGUGACCCAAGAGGAUAGAAUUAGGAUAAAUGAGAUGGAGUUACAGGGAAGAAAAUUUUGAUUUCAUAUAUAUAUCCAUUUUCUAGCAAGGCGAGAACCCUGAAAAGAGAUCAGAUUGCCUCAAGAAAUAGUGAUUUCCUGUCAAGGAAAAAAGCUGGACAGCCUCUUAUUGGGAAUGUUAUCAAGGCGGCCCUUAAGAAUUUAUGAUUCUUGGGGGCUGGCCCCGUGGCCGAGUGGUUAAGUUCGCGCGCUCCGCUGCAGGCGGCCCAGUGUUUCGUUG